rnacentral:rRNA from 1 species
GAUGAACGCUGGCGGCGUGCCUAAUACAUGCAAGUCGAGCGAACAGACGAGGAGCUUGCUCCUCUGACGUUAGCGGCGGACGGGUGAGUAACACGUGGAUAACCUACCUAUAAGACUGGGAUAACUUCGGGAAACCGGAGCUAAUACCAUAAUAUAUUGAACCGCAUGGUUCAAUAGUGAAAGACGGUUUUGCUGUCACUUAUAGAUGGAUCCGCGCCGCAUUAGCUAGUUGGUAAGGUAACGGCUUACCAAGGCAACGAUGCGUAGCCGACCUGAGAGGGUGAUCGGCCACACUGGAACUGAGACACGGUCCAGACUCCUACGGGAGGCAGCAGUAGGGAAUCUUCCGCAAUGGGCGAAAGCCUGACGGAGCAACGCCGCGUGAGUGAUGAAGGUCUUCGGAUCGUAAAACUCUGUUAUUAGGGAAGAACAAAUGUGUAAGUAACUAUGCACGUCUUGACGGUACCUAAUCAGAAAGCCACGGCUAACUACGUG